CCCCAGUAAUUCUUUGCCUUUCGUCACAGGAGGUUGGUAGAGAAGUGUCAGAAGUUUUUUCGAAGUAGUUCCUUAUGAGGGGUACCUGCCCUUCGGGAUGGAACUGGAGUUUUAAAUAGUCUUGUCAGCCUCUCAGUGAGAGCAUUGAUGAAAGUCUGGAAAUGCAGGGAGAGUCUUUCUGCAAAUCCAUCCAGAAUCAGAUUAACAGCUCCUAUAAGCAAUCAGUGUUGACGCGUUUCGCUGCUUGCUUUCUUCACUCAAGUUCAUGUCAGAGGCGCUGCUACUAUCUGUCAAACUUGAAGAACCGUGUUGCUGUUGCAUGGAUUGGAUUCCGGUAAGAUAUUUUCAUUUUAUACACUCAUGUUAACGAUAGAAGGUGACUCGUUUAUCUUUAUGGAAUCAAAGGUUAAUAUCUCCUGAGGGGGAUUGCUGUACAGUUGGGUGUUUUUAAUUAUGUUUGUUAUGUGAUUUUAUCUGCGUAUGUGUAAGGAGACAUUUUAGGCUCUUGGCUGAUACGGAACAUACAGGUUACAGAGCUGCACAGUUUUAUUAAGCUGGCGUGCUUUUUCUAGCAGGUGCGGCCCUGCAUGAGGCACCAUGUGACUGGGUGUAGUCAUGUCUUGUUUUCCAUUUCCGUUUCCUGACCGAGUGGCUGCGGAAAAGAGUUAUUUUCUCUACCUGUCUGGCUCAUAGGAGGUGGUGAGUGCUUCAGCCAUUGGGUGUGUAGGUGCCAGUUUGCCCUUUUGUCUUAAACUUUUAAUUGAAAUUAUGGAGGUGUCUGAUAUUCUAGAGGAUUCCUCUGAUACAGAUUUUAAUACCUGUGUAUGUUUUGAGGAGGACCGGGUAGAUCAGCCUGCUCAAUUAUGUUCUGUAUGCCGCUAUAGGGUGUUCUCUUCUAACAAUGUUGAGAUGUUAGAGACCACUGAGCCGUCUACCUCUGAGGAUUCCUUGUCCCGUGAGACUUACCCUAGAUUCUUAUCCUACACAUGCAGUUCUCCUAAGUGCCAAUACUCCUUCGUCUAAGGGAAAAAAUUUCCACCGGAGGUUACUGUGGGUUUUUGCAUGGCCAUCUCUAUGGCUUUAGCGAGUUUGCCUCUUCCGCCUACGAAGCGAAGGGUUAAUCUGUGCUCUCCUACACAUGGGCCGUCGUGUAAAAUGACGAUUGUGCCAGAUCUGUCAUCUGGAGGUGCGGUUCCAUCUGAGGCUUCAGAGGUAGAUCCUCCGGGGUCGGAAUCGCCUGAAUUGAUUCCUCCGACAGAGUAGGAUUUGGCUUUUAGACUUGGAGUGGCACACCUACGUUUACUCCUGAGAGAGAUUUUGGCGAUGUUAGAGGUUCCCAGUCCUGAUCCGUGAGGUGGAUCUCAGUUCUCUAUGUUAACAAUCUUGAUUAGAUGAGUGGAGAGGGUUGGAUCUUCUCCCUUUAUUGUCUCUAUGUAUAUAGUUAUAGAAUCCUAGUCCCGAGCUUCAUGGAGGGGGGGUUGUGUUGUACACAGCAGGACCUGUUCGUUGCACACCCCUUUGAAUUCUUUUUGGUGCGUUUGACCAUUUUUCUUUUCUAAUCCGUCUUGGAUAGUUUUUGUUAAGGAGCUCAGGGUUCUUGCGGAAACUUUUUUUGGAGGUUCUUCUCUUGGAUUGUUCUGGUUAUAUGGACUUUGAUGGUCGAGAUGGAUGCCUUCCGAUGGAUGCUUCUAAAUCUCUGGUCGGGGUGAUGUUCCCUCAAUUUUAUAGAUAUGAAAGUUUAAGCCUCAGAGCUUUUUAUAUUUGUUUAUUUUUAGUUCCUAGCACUGCUGGAACUUAAGUUUUUUGUUAGUCAUGACAGACUUGUCGUACCCUUGAUGAUGGGCAGGACCUGUUUUGGGUAAUAGUUCAGUCUGUUAUUUCUUUCUAAUAUAGAAAAUGAGCCUUUUCUAAUUAUUCUGGUCCGGGCAAAGUGGGCCCUUAUAUACCGAAAGACAGGCAGGACCUGUCUUCGGUUCUUCUGGAUGGGCACUUGAUGCUGGAUCAUAUGGGUCCGGGGGUCCUAGAGGCUGGAGUUGAGCUUUUCAUUCCGUUUUUUCUGGACCAGGAGACUUUUGGAGUCUUGUCCCAGUACUCUUUGCAGUUUCAACACUGUGGGUGAACGGCCCAAUUAGGGGAGGGGUUUCUCAUCCUUAUGGGUUCGAUGAUCUUUAAGCAGAGUCUUUUUGAUCGCCUGGAUUUAGAAAGGUUAUCUUUCGUGUCCAAAAUUGGUCCUGUGUAGUCUGGUGUUUCCUCUAUGGAACUAGAAGGUGGAAUCCAGUGUCUGUCGCUGGAUGUUCAUUUAAAAUCAUGCUUGUUUAAGCAGGUCUGGUUCUUAGGGACCGUUUUUCUUCCGGAACCUCGCUUCGGUCCUCAGUUUUUGGAUCUGGGGUUUAAUGUAACAGUAGCUUAUUCCAGGUGUUACAGCAGCUCCUGAGUCUUGGUGUUUAUGGUUUUUCCAGCGUCUUCUAUUAGAGCUUUUGGGAUUUGCUUCCAACCGGUCCCAUUCUCAGAGGUGAACCUAAACCGGAGUUCUGGGGUUGUCGCCAGGUUGGAUCCUUUGGAUGCGGUUUGGUCUUUCAGACAGGAAGCCUCUUCGCUUUAGAGCUUAUGAAGUUAAAUUCCCUUCAUCGGGUUCUGCCCCCCAAUUCAUCUUCAGGUCCUACCUGGCGCUGUGUGAAUUCAGCCCAGGCCGAGUCUUCGACAUGGCUUGGGUUCUUGACUCUGCCUAGACUCUUUGUGGUUUACAGAUUGGCGACUUGUUUUCCAGUGUUCAGUGCAGCUCUUUCGGUGUUGGGGACUUUUUUUUUACUAGUCCCCCAGGGCAGUUUUGUCUUGGUCUCUUCCCUGUCACCAUUGAGAGAGUGGUUUCUGGGGUAUGUGAUUCAGGAUUUUCCUUCCAGUCAUCCUUGAGGGGUGUUCAGUCGAGCAUUUGGCUCUGAGGUCUGGUCUUCUGGAUACAUGCCAGUUGGGACCUCUUGGUGAGUGAUUUAUUUUCUGAGUUAAGUGAGUUUCUCCUGCAUAUAUGGGAGGGUCUCGAUUUGAUGGUGGGCGAAGGCCCACUAUGACUCUCGACAGUAAUCCAUUAUCUGAGCGGGCUCUUCCGGAAUGGAUGUUCCUUAAGAUCAUCCGUUUGAUCUAUCUAUCCAGAAGCUUUUAAAUGUAUGUCUGAGACUGCAGUUAGAGUUCUCAGUUGAGGUCCGUAGGACAUGGGGCCAAAGGGAUUUUUUCCAGGCCUAACAAGCUGUCGGCUUGGCAUUUUAAAUUCUGCUGUGGCAGUUUUCUUCCUUUUGGGGAGGUCUAUUUUAACCUUUCUCUUUUUGGCCAUGCCACUCUUUUUUGACGAUGGCUCGAUCCUAUCUGGAAUGGGCAUCUGUGAGAUGGUUGCUCCAUUUUUGUCCGUGGGUUCGUAAUCACGGGUUAGAGGCUCGCUGUCUUGAGAGUUCCCUUGUUGCAGGGAUCUACCGGGGUGAAUUGCAAGGGAUCGCUGGGACUUAGUUGAGGAAAGGUAUUCUUCUGAAGGGUUCAGUACUUUCCUUCAGUUCCUCAUCGCCUACUUUAGGCCUGGAGGACUCCCUCUCCUUUUGUCGGGAGAGCUAGCUUGGCUGGUCUCUCUUCCGGAUCCUGUAGCUCUCUUCUUCUCCUCUAGAAUGAGCUGGAGAAGGGCUUGUCUAGCUAGUUCUUGUUUGAAGGGGUAACUUGCCAGUAUAUUCUGUGGUUGACAUAGCUGUUUGGCAUGCAGAGUUUUCAGAUGGUUCCAUCUGUGGUUCCUUUCUCUGUAUGCUUUUUUGCAAGCAGGUUUUGCUAGCCAUUUGUGUUCUGGAGAUUGAUGAUCUUCCGGGUAUCAGUUGUGUGUGCUAGGGCACUGCCUGCGGCGGGGCAUGCAAGUCUAUUCCUUGCUCCAUUUGGGGUUGGUUCUCCCUUCAGGAGUUACAUCGGGGUUCUUUUGUACCUGUUCUGGAGGUGUUCUUUGAAUCUUAUUCAAGGACCUAUUUCGUCUGUAGAUUGUUUUUUCUACGUGUCAUAGGUUCCUGUGUUGCAAUUUGCAACACGUUCUUCUUGUUUGUGGUCUUUCCUUUAUUAGGACUAUCCGAGUUUUUCUCCCUAAGAUGGUCAUACCAUUGUCCAAAUGGGAAGAGGUUCUCCCUUUUUGGGGAAUCUUCCUUAAGGUUCUGUCAAACUUCAUCAGAGUAGUCAAUUUUUACUUUGUUGUUCACAUCUAGGGGGUGCAAGAUUUUGGAAGCUGACUAUCUUCCUCCUUGUUAGUGGAGGAGUGUUUUUUCUCUGGCUCUAGGAGACAGCGGGACACAAACCUCUUCAGAGGUCUAUGGCUCGGUUCGAGUGCAGUGAAAUUUUUUUGGUCUCUGACACGUGGUCCCUAUGGUUCUGGUUGUUGGGCAGCUGCUUGGUCCUCCACAUAAUCAUGGUGCUUCUAUCAAGGAAGCCUUCGGGAGUUUAGUUUUCUUGCAGGUUGUGGUGCCCUCAGGUUGGGCCUCCUCUUAUUUGUACCCUCCUGUUACCAUUUGGUGUACUCUGUAGCUUGGGUAUAAUUUUCCCACAACUUCCGUCCAUGCUCUCCAGUGGACAGCCCUAAAUUUAAAAUUAUUUUUCUUCUGGCACCUUUUUUCACUCUGGUAUUUCUACUACUGUUCCUUGCUCCCUCUGCAGAAUGACUGGGGGAUGAGGGAGGUGUGGCUGUAUUUGAGCCUUUGGCUGGGGUGUCUUUGACUCCUCCUGGUGGCCAGGUUCUGUAUUCUCACAAGUAAUGAAUGCAGCUGUGGAGUCUCCCUGUAUUGAAGGAAAGGAAAUUAUCUGGUAAGUCAUAAUUUAUGUUUUUUGGGGAUCUAAUUCGAUUGUACCAUUUGGAAAAUUGUAUUUAUCUUAGCUGUAUAGACAUAUUUUUUAAACAUGCAAAAAAAAAUACAUUGUCAAGCAAAUGUUUAAUAAUUUCCUAGGAGCAGUGGACUUAAUACGAAUUAGGUCUCCUGCUAAACCAAAUCGUUUUGAGAAAUGUGAAUACAAUUUCACAACUGGGAAAUUACAAAUUUCCUUCUACAGACAACUUAGCCAAAGUGCUUGUAAUCUGUGCAAAUAUAAUAUUCUUAUUUAAGCGUAUUUUAUGAAAUUAGAUUUUAAUUUAUUUCGAAUAAUGCGUCUUAUUAAAAUCAAAAAUAUGCAUGUACAUAUGUGAAACUGUUAAGUAACCCCAACAUAUUUCUUCAGUUAGAAAUAAGUUUUCUUUUGUCAUAAAGUUCUUAAAACAACUCUUCUAUCAUUUUUAUUAUUUGUUCCUGUACAUAAAAAAAUAAAUGCUGUAGCUUUUUUGCAAAUAUAUUUUCUAAAUCAAAUAUUUUAAUUUUAUAUAUUUAAAUAAAUACUUAUGUAUAUAGAUUUUUUUUUUGUUUCAUUCUUUGUGUAUCGAUUUAGUCUUUGGGUUUGUUUGUAUAUAUUUUAAAACAGCCAAGUUUUGGUGCCUUAAUAUUUGUGAAAUUAAAAAAAAAAAAUAAUUAGUUUAUUUUCUCUUAAUUUGGUUUGUCAUUUGAUAAUUUAGGUGCUUUUAGCUCCGUGUUGAAUAUAUACAGUACUAAUAUGCUCAAAUAAAAUAUAGCUAUGUUAAAAUAUGUUGAAAUAUUGUUUUAAAGAUGUUAGUGAGUUGUAAUUUCCAAUUCUUAUUUAGGCAUUUGUGCAGGUAAAAUACAUUAAUUAUUGUUUUUUUUCUAUAUUCACUAUAGAAAUGUUAGUUUAAAUGUGAAUAAGUCACAUUUUCAGAAAUUUUAAGAAAAGGCUUUUAUUAUAUUUGGUUUCUUCCUAUAUUUACUUUAUUUCAGGAUUGUCACAUGAAUGCUUUUAAGGCCUAAUCAUUCAGCCUAUGUAGAAGCUGACUUGUGCAGCAACUUCAUUGAUAGUCCAGCCCAUGCACAGAGUGCAUGUUCUUCAUGAAUCAACUUCUUCAUGUGCUCCAAGAUCAGAGCCUGGGCCGUGUCAACUAUUAUGGCUACCGAAAUUUUUAUUUUUAAAUAAUAUAAAAUAGAUGGUCGAAUUUUUGAAAACCGAAUGCCAAAAUAACCCAAUAUAUUUUCAGCUAGAAUGAUCUUAAGGUACUUUUACUUUACUAUGGCUGUGUCUUUAUGUAGUAUUUAUCAUAAAGGGUAAAUGUAGAAAUUUGUUAUAACUACCACCCAUUUCUCAGACAAAAAAUAAAGACUUUAUUACAAUAUUUCCCAACCUGUGAUAUUUAAUAUUAGAAAAUAAGAUGUUAAACCUUAACAUACCCCACCUAUCAUUGAUGCUUUGGCUUUCUUUUAAGUUCAGCACGUGAGUGAUUGCAUUUUUACUUACUUUGGGUUUGUGUAGAUUUUAAUUAGUUUUACUUUUUUUAACUUACCCAUUCUUUACUGUUCUCAUUUUGAAGAAUGACCUUCACACUAAGAUGUGCUUUGAAAGUAUUUCUCUAUGCUAGGAUAUGUUUACCUUUGGUAAGUAUUAAUGCUUGUGCCAUUUCACGGUUUCACUGCCUGCCUAAUGUUCUAUUGGACACUUUAUGAGUUCCUAUUUUGUCAUAUUAAAUAGGAACUGGGUUCUCAGAGGGUAUGGAUUAUGUUCUCUGGGGAUGGGGUUUUUAUUGUUUGGUAACAGAGCUUAGGGGGAGUGGCCAGCUUCGGUUAUAAUGUAUCUGCGUUCACAGAGCCUUCAGACUGCCUGGACAAUGAUCAGUGUUAUAUGCUUUCUACAAGAAAGCAGGGCUACAGAAUGUGCAAAAUGGCAGUUGAAACCCCAUGAAAGUACAUGAUCAUUUUAUAUAUUUGAAAGUAAUGUCAAGAGUUCCACAAUCUGGUUGUAAGAUCUAGAGGUGUUUAUUUUAUUUAUAUUCCUACCAUUUUAAUGCUCACAAAUAAAUUUAAAAAUAUACUAACAUAUUUAGUCUGGUUCAGUGUCUUUGCUUUGUAUACAUUAGUUUUUUGUUUUGUGGUUUACAGUGGUAGAUGAAUGUUUACGAUAAUCCAAUGAAUGUAGUUUAAUAUUUUAUUACAAAAUUGGAAAGCAAAUAUAACCCAUUCCAACAUGUGAAUAUGUUCCUAUACGUUUAAUGACCAACCAGGUUGUGCGUGUGUGUUGUGUAUACAAACAUAUAUUUACCUCUCUUCCCAGUGGCUCUUUUUAAGCUGUAUCCUUUUCAUACAUUUGCUCUGUUUUUAGUGCAAUCUAGUUUACUUUCAGUUUUUCUUUAAUGACACCUUACAAAAGCUUAUUUAUUUUUAAUGUUUAGCAGUUCAUUAUGACUGUAAAUCUGUGAUAGCAUUGACAGAGUAAGUUCUGCAAACAGCAUUAAUACAUUUGGCUGCAAUUUGGCAUGUAAGGAGAAAUCUGAAAUCACUACAAACAUAGAAAAAUGUCAAGCUAUUCUGUUUAGCUGUUUUAAGAUUUUUUUCAAGUGGAAAAGUCCAGUUUUUCAAAGUGGUGAUGCAGUUGCAAUGUAAAUGAUUAUCUAGGGAUGCAGAUGAAACUGGGUAUGAGAACUAGUAAUGUUUCUCACCUGCAUGAUUUUUGCAAGAUUGUUCUAUUUCCUUAACAAAUGCAUGUGUAGCAGAGAUUCAUAAACGCAAGUUGGAAAAUUAGUUUUGUUUUAUUAUCUCAACCUGUGACUUAUGUAUAGUUACAGGGAACUGACAUCAGCAGACUGACUGGUUGACCACACAUUAAUUAACAAAUUAAGUUAAGAAAAAAAUAUAUAUUUAUAUGUCCCAUAAAUGUGAGAUUAUUAUAAGGGUGCAUAUUACUUUUUCCACUAAUAAUUUUUUUUUUACUUGAAAACAAAGGGUGUAGAAAUUUGAGAAUUAGCAGACUUUAAAUCGAUUUUAUAUUUAAGGCCAUAUUAAUGAUUUAUGCAUAAACAAAUCUCUGGGGAAAACCAUUUGUAUUGAGAGCUAAUUUUGAACACAUUUCACGUGUGUCAGAUUCACCAAAUCACUAUUGUUUAUGUGCAGUUAUUAGUAAAUAGAAACUGCAGGAGAGAUUAUAAGGAGUCGUGAUGGUACACCAAUUUAUAAUGUAAGAAAUAUUGUUUUUUAUUUUAUUCUUUAAAAUAUCUUACACUUCCAAAAAAAAUA